rnacentral:rRNA from 1 species
GAUGAACGCUGGCUACAGGCUUAACACAUGCAAGUCGAGGGGAAACGACGGGGAAGCUUGCUUCCCCGGGCGUCGACCGGCGCACGGGUGAGUAACGCGUAUCCAACCUGCCUCUGACUGAGGGAUAACCCGUCGAAAGUCGGCCUAAUACCUCAUGGUAUCGUCUGCGGGCAUCCAACGACGAUUAAAGAUUUCAUCGGUCAGGGAUGGGGAUGCGUCUGAUUAGCUUGUUGGCGGGGUAACGGCCCACCAAGGCUACGAUCAGUAGGGGUUCUGAGAGGAAGGUCCCCCACAUUGGAACUGAGACACGGUCCAAACUCCUACGGGAGGCAGCAGUGAGGAAUAUUGGUCAAUGGGCGAGAGCCUGAACCAGCCAAGUAGCGUGCAGGAAGACGGCCCUAUGGGUUGUAAACUGCUUUUAUGCGGGGAUAAAGUGAGGGACGUGUCCCUCAUUGCAGGUACCGAAUGAAUAAGGACCGGCUAAUUCCGUG